rnacentral:lncRNA from 1 species
AAAUUGCAAUAAGGUUUAUAUAACAUUUGCUUAUGAAAAAAAACAUAUUUAUACAAAUAACAAGGAAGCAGUACUGGAAAACAAAUUAUAUAUCUGUGACUUUUCUAAAAAAUAAAUAAAUUAUCUGUAAGUUGUAAUAUAAUAUAACCCUUUAAAAUAUAUUUGCAUUAGAUCUGCAUUCUGCAGUAUUAACAUAUCAAAAUAUGACAAGUCUAUAAUUACAAUUUACAAUUGCCUUAUUUAUACAAAUUGUCUAUACAAACAAAACUAAUUAUUCCUUUUCUUUUUUUUUACACAAAUAGUCUUCAAUAAUGAAUGAACGAUAACCCUUUCAUCAAGGUGCAUGUGUCUCACCUUGAAAGAGAGCUUCAUUGAUUGUUUGCAACACCAAAUGGAACAAAAAGACGGGGAUAACCUCGACGCUGAUGAAUGUUUCCGGCGACAUUCAUUUCUUUCAGAGGGCAGUUUGUGCCACCACUUCCGGGGAUAAAGGUGCAGCCAGAUGGCCCUGAGGGAGGAACAGGACCCUUGUCAAGAGAUUGUAAGCUCAGUUGAAAUUUGUUUUUGGUAUUCAAUACCCUACUAGCUAUGUUUGGUUCAACAUGAGAUAUAGUAAGAAGCAAAAGCAAGGCCAAAAUAACUUUGAGAACCUUCAUGGUGUUGUGUGUCUUUGAAAAAGAAUUGGAGAUUUAAUAAGCAAGACAAAUAUUUGAGCAUCUCAUGGGGGGAUCGUGCUAUUUAUAUUAAUUGGUGUACCUAACAUUCUUGAGUAAAAAAUUAACUCAUGAGUUAUUUUUAUUUAACGAUUUAAUGUUGACUAGUGAUCAUUUAUUAAUUAACUAACGGUUAUCUUAUAUUACUAUUACAUUUGAAAGAAGCAAAACAAAAAGAUCAAAUUUGUUUUGAAUUGGUCACAUGAUAUAAUUCAUGCUAUUUGCUAUGGAGAGUUUUUGACUUGAAUGCAUUCUCUUUUUCUCAUUUCCUUCUAAUCACGUAGCCUAAUUGAAUAGAUCUUUUGAAAAGGAUAUAGAUCAAUUAUAUAAAUAAAUUAUUAAUUAAAAUCAAAAGGACAAAGUUUACUACUUUGCUCUUCUUUGAUUGAGUCUAUGUUUUGACUGGAAAAGAAGCAGAUGGUCGAAUUUGCUAAAUUUCUUGGUACUGCCUUUAGUGUGUAUAAUUAUUUAGCCGAGGGGGAAUAAUGAUAUACAUAUUAAUUUGUAAAAAAAAAGGUAACAUAUACAUUAAAUGGAAUUUAAUUUUUCAUUUUACACAAACAUUUAAUCAAAAGAAUGGGCGUAAUAUUUUUAUUUUGGUUUUAGGGUUAUGCUUCCAAAACCAAAAGGCGUAUUACGUUUUCAUCUCCGACGACUCGUGUUCGUCGCAUUCCCUAAUGUCUCUUGUCCGUGUUGUUGGUGUGUUCAUGGCUUCAUCGUCAAUCUUUCAUGUUUUUCAAAGUGAUGACAAUGGAGAAAAGGAAGAACAAUUCUAGUUAUUGCUUUAUUAUAGGGGUGUCGUCUCAUUACACUGCCCUCGUUAAUUGAUUGUUUCGUAGCAAUUGUGAGAUGAGUUAGAUGUCCCACAUUGAUUGGAAAAGUAAAAGUUUAUCAAUAUAUAUGUAACUAGACGUAUAAAAUCAAUGUCUAGAGGUUUUUGGUUAAGAUGUAGUGUCCAACUAGUCUUGUUUAUCAAUAUAUAAGUAAAAGUUUAUCAAUAUAUAUGGAUCGAUGAAGGAUUCAACUAUAUCCUUCUAUCAAAAGUCUUGUUUAUAUAGUGGGGAGCAUAACCGAAUGGAUGAGACGACUCACUUGAGGGCCAGAUUAUUGUGGCAAAUAUGAGAUGAAUUAGAAGUUUCAAAUUUCUUGAAAAAGUGGAGAUUGUAAAAUAUAUAACAAGAGAGAACCAAAUCCACGGCUUCUAAAUUUUGCCUAUAUGGUUGCAACCUCAAUUGCAUAACGAACCUCUAAACACCCCUAAAAAGUUACCAUGACAAUUUUUGUGUUUUGAUCACUCCAUCAAUGCAUGUUUGAGAUCUAAUGUCUGUAUAAGUUUCUUGACUCAAAGAUCUAAUGUAUGUAUGAAAAUAUCAAAACAACUAAUAUAUAAUAAAAUAUGUCUAGAUUCACAUCUUGAAAAUGAAAUAUAGAUAUUAGAUAUGCAAAAAUAAAGAAUUUCACCAACUUGGUGGAGACAUUCCCGAUUAUUCUACAUGCGCAUGCCCUUUGUCGCGCAAACUAAAGCUCACACGCAAGCACAUUCGUUUAUAUUGCACGAGUUUAUCAUAAACUAAUAUUAUAUAGAAUUAACUAAUAUUAAAAUAAACCACAUUCCUUAAAAAAUUUGUCCAAGUAAUUAACUAACUUUUCCACGGCUGUAUUAUCAUAUAGUUCGUUAAAUCGUGCAUUUGAUAUAGGGAAAAUAAUCUGUCCCAUAAUGAGAAAGAAAACUCAAAUAUUCAGUGUAUUGAAAUUGAGAAAUUGUAGCUCAUUCUUAUAAAAAGAAACAUAAGAGAUAUGUGGAUACAUAAAUUACAAUGAGGUUUAUAUAAGUAUAACAUUUGCUUAUUAAAAAAACAUAUUUAUACAAAUAACAAGGAAGCAGUACUGGAAAACAAAGUAUACAUCUGCAACUUUUCUAAAAUAAAUAAAUAAAUUAUCUGUAAGUUGUAAUAUAACCCUUUAAAAGUUAUUUGUAUUAGAUGAAUAUAACAUAUCAAAAUAUGACAAGUCUAUAAUUACAAUUUACAAUUGCCUUAUUCAUAACCUGUCUAUAUCCAAAGAAGAAAAAAAUAAUUAAUUAAUUAUUUUUGUUACACAAAUAGUCUUCAAUAAUGAAUGAAAUUUAACCCUUUCAUCAAGGUGCAUGUGUCUCACCUUGAAAGAGAUCUUCAUUGAUUGUUUGCAACACCAAAUGGAACAAAAAGACGGGAUAACCUCGACGCUGAUGAGUGUUUCCGGCGACAUUCAUUUCCUUCAUAGGAAAGCUAUGAAGCACAGACUUCGACACGAACAUCUGACACGACACUGACACGGUCAUAUCGACACUAUUAAUGUAAAAAAUAUAGGACACUGACACCACUACAUAUAUGUUAAUUUAUCUAAAGAUGGUCUAAAAUGAAAAUUAAAAUACAUAUAUAAACAUCUAACUUGAGCAAUUUAUUUAAUUAGAAAAAGUUCAACAAGAUAUCAUAUAGUAUUUGACCUUUAUUUAUUCAUCUACCAUCAAAAAAGCUAAAAAUGAUAAUCAAUUGUAAUGUCUAUAACCCCCAAUUGAUCAACAUUUCACAAAACAUAUGUAACUCUUGUAUCUAUGGUGUGUGGAAGCAAGAGAGAAAAAAAUUGUUUUAGAUAUUUGCCUGAGUUGUUUGACACGGCUCGCAUAAGUGUUAUAUAGUGUCGGACACCGAUCGUAGGAGUGUCGAAGUAAAAAAUAACAAUUAUUUAGGACGCUGGUUCGACACGUGUCGUACGAGUGUCAUAGGAGUGUCAGACACGCCUAAUCCUGGAGGUGUCCGUGCUUCAUAGGAGGGCAGACUGGGCCACCACUUCCGGGGAUAAAGGUGCAGCCAGAAGGCCCUGAAGGAGGAACAGGACCCUUGUCAAGAGGUUGUAAGCUCAGUUGAAAUUUGUUUUUGGUAUUCAAUACCCUACUAGCUAUGUUUGGUUCAACAUGAGAUAUAGUAAGAAGCAAAAGCAAGGCCAAAAUAACGUUGAGAACCUUCAUGGUGUUGUGUGUCUUUGAAAAUGAAUUGGAGAUUUAGUAAGCAAGAUGAAUAUUGCACUACUAUAAUAUUUAAGCAUCUCAUGGGGGGGUCGUGCUAUUUAUAUUAAUUGGUUUGCCU